GGGAAGUCUGACCUGCUUAAGCUCUGGGAAGAGAAUCACUCUUCAGGAAGAUGAAAGCGGUACCUUGCUCACAUGCCUUGGUCUUGCUACAGAAAUAGGAAGUUUAGCGCUAAUCGGUUCUUCAUGACCGCUAUACAUGCGCUUUUGGUGGAGCCAGGAUAACAGAACUACAGCGAUUUUUAGCUUUUCCUUUCAUAGUGAAACAAUCUGAUUUACGCGGUGGCGGACAUGCGUCGAAGUGAUUUAAGCACAACAUCCUAAAGAGUCCUGCUCCCUUUGAGAUGGGUACCUGGGCUGUGACUAAAACACCCUCAGUCAACAAACCAGAAUUGAAGAGGUGCUACAAUGUGUUGCAACUAACAUUCAUCUGUAAAUACAGUUCAGUCAGAUGCGAAGAUCUUUCAGAAUGGUAAAACACUUUGGACAAAUUCUAAAUAUGCAGAAGUGUCCACAAAAAUCUUCAGAAUAUGGUGCUUUCCAGAGAAAAAGAGAACAGCUGAGAGAACUAGAAGGGGAGUACAAGGAGAUCACAAUAUGUGUACAAACACCAAGUUUAAGGCAGUGCACAGAGGAGAAGAGGGGAUCCAUGGCAAUCUAUGCAGCUACCCAGAGAAUUGGGAAAAGUCAGGCUGGAAGGAACUUCAGAA